GGAAGUAAAAGUCGUAACAAAGUUUCCGUAGGUGAACCUGCGGAAGGAUCAUUAUUGUAUAACCGAGGUGCGAGGGCUGUCGCUGACCCGAAAGGUCGUGCACGCCCGAGUGCCCUCACACACAUCCAUCUCACCCCUAUGUGCACCACCGCGUGGGUCCCCCUUUGGCUUGUUCGGAGGGGGGCUUACGUUUUCACACAAACUUUGUAUGCAGUGUAGAAUGUAUCUUUUGUUUUUGCGAUCACGCAAUCAAUACAACUUUCAACAACGGAUCUCUUGGCUCUC
rnacentral:misc_RNA from 1 species